rnacentral:misc_RNA from 1 species
GGGUGAUCAGAGUUUUCAAGUCUCCAUUCCAUGUAAGAAUAUUAUAAAGCUAUAAACCAAGACUUAAACAUUGAAAUAUGGUUACUUCCAAACAUACCUUGUCGGCCAAUUGAGCUCUAAACAGGAUAUUGUUGAGUGGGGAGGAACUUUCAUUUGAUUAAAUGAUAACAAUGAUGACAGAAUUUGCGAUAUGAAAGAAAAAUUAGGAUUAGCAUAGCAGAAAUUUAAAUAUGCACAGAAAAAUUAAGGUGAGUAUUGGCGGACAAAUCAAGAACAUGUUAUAAGAAAACUAAAAGCAAGAUUCUUUUUGUUUCCUUUCCAUGGCUGGACCACUACUUGAAUUGAGAUUCCAAAUCUUAUCCUUAGCAGCAGAUAACAAAAUCAAUAGAGGGUUCUGACUUUUGAGAACAAAAUAUAACCAACAAGCCCACAGGUUUAGCAAACAUGGCAAAUGGAUUUGUAACGAUGAAUCCUGCUCAAGCUCAUUCCUUAUUCUCCAAGUGUAACAAGAAGGCUUGCCAAGUUUUUUCUAUUACUAUUGCUACUUAAUAAGGAAUUAUGCACAAAUUACUGUUUUCCAUCCAGAAAUCUGAAGCUGAAAAUGCAGAACCGCAAGAAUUUCCAAUCUAGGUUAUGAUUCAAUAAACUUUAAAGGAUAUUAAAUUUUCAUGUAUAAUACUGAUAUUACAUCAUCGGAACAUAAAAUUUGUACAGAACUACAAACUAAAAGAAAAAAAAAAUAGAAGAUCGAAAUCAAGAAGAGAAAAAACUCAGGCAGAGAAGAACCCAUUAGAAGCUGCAAGACCAAUUUGGGUCUUGGGCUCCAAAACCAUUUUGGCAAGUUCAAUAUUCUCUUGCCUAACCUUAUUCUUGACACUCCGAGACAGGAAAGAAACACAAGAAACCCAGUUAAAAACCUUGAUGUCUGAACCUGAAUCUUCAGACAACUUCCUUGAAUUCUUGACUCUCCUUGAAUUCUUGACUCUCCUUUCAUACUCCUCAGCAACCAGAAUAGCAAUGUCAGCCAUGGAGAUUUGCUCUUUUUUUUUUAAGAAAAUGGUUAAAUGGGUGAAAAGAAGAUGGUAUCAAGAAAGUGGAAAGAGAGGUAUUUAUAGGGUGAAGACCAUGUAAGUGGGCAGUUUCAUAUAGAAUGGAUAAGGCUGCAGGGUAGCGUGCGCGUGAAGCAUUUCAACUUUUUUUUUUUUGCCAUUUUUAUAUGCUGGUUUUUUAUUUGAUGGUUUUGACCGUGGCAGAGGCAGAUUACACGUUUUGCAUCAUUGCUCAUGGACUUGGAUGGCACCCACCAUUUUAAAUGGUGGGACCCAACCCCAUCUUACUGUAAAUAAAUAGUGGUGGCCAUAACGGAAUAAAACUGGCGGUUUCCCUUACAAUUCUA